rnacentral:ncRNA from 1 species
CCGCAUUAGGUCUCCAAGGUGAACAGCCUCUAGUCGAUAGAAUAAUGUAGGUAAGGGAAGUCGGCAAACUAGAUCCGUAACUUCGGGAAAAGGAUUGGCUCCAGUGGUCGGAACGGUUGGCCAGUUGGUUGAUGCUUGUCCGGCGCUGUUCUGUCUGCUUGAUGCUUUCGGGCUGAUGGCGGCCUAGUGAUAGUGCUUGCUUGUUGACGCUUUCUGGUGUGUGCUUUGACCUCGGUCUUAGUAUCCUGAUCGUUCAUCUAAACGACUAAACUGGAACCGGUACGGACUCAGGGAAUCCGACUGUCUAAUUAAAACAGAGGUGACAGAUGGUCCUUGCGGACGCUGACUGUCACUGAUUUCUGCCCAGUGCUCUGAAUGUUAAAUCGUAGUAAUUCGAGUAAGCGCGGGUAAACGGCGGGAGUAACUAUGACUCUCUUAAGGUAGCCAAAUGCCUCGUCAUUUAAUUGUUGACGCGCAUGAAUGGAUUAACGAGAUUCCUACUGUCCCUAACUACUAUCUAGCGAAACCACAGCCAAGGGAACGGGCUUGGCAAAAAUAGCGGGGAAAGAAGACCCUGUGGGCUUGACUCUAGUUUGACAUUGUGAAGAGUCAUGAGAGGUGUAGCAUAGGUGGGAGUCUUCGGACGCCAAUGAAAUACCACCACUUUCAUCGACUCUUUACUUAUUCGGUUAAAAGAGAAUUGGUCGCAAGGCCUCUUUUCGAAGUAUUAAGCGGAUCCAUUUUAUGGAACCGUGACUCUCCCCGAAGACAGUGUCAAGCGGGGGAGUUUGACUGGGGGCGGUACAUCUAUCAAAUCGUAACGUAGGUGUCCUAAGGCGAGCUCAGAGAGGACGGAAACCUCUCGUAGAGCAAAAGGGCAAAAGCUUGCUUGAUCUUGACUUUCAGUACGAGUACAGACCGCGAAAGCGUGGCCUAUCGAUCCUUUUUAAUUUUCCAGAUUGUUUCUGGUAAGAGGUGUCAGAAAAGUUAACCACAGGGAUAACUGGCUUGUGGCAGCAAGCGUCAUAGCGACGUUGCUUUUUGAUCCUUCGAUGUCGGCUCUUCCUAUCAUUGCGAA